ensembl:lncRNA
CCCCGCUUGUUUAUCUUGGGUUUUUUCGAUCUGAAUAAAAACUCAUUCAGCGAGGAGAUUUUCACGCUGCUGAAAACGGCUCUGUCGUCGGUUCACACACUCCCGAUCUCCUUCGCGGUGUGUGUUUGAGCUCCACGCCGCUGUACUGCCGCUCGGCCUCAGCCACUGCCUCUCUGCACAGCGCCUCCUGUGGUGAGGAGGAGGAGCAGCACAGCGUGGAGUCGCAGGACUCGGGCAUCCCGACUCUGGAGCUCAGCUCACCCGAGGGGACGGAAGAGUCGCACAGCACAGACAGACACCGAGACGCUCCGGCCACGCUGAAGCUAGAGACGACGGGUGAGGGCGGGGCUUCAAGUCAGG